UCGAGAAUAUUCCACAAUGGACGAAAGUCUGAUGGAGCGACGCCGCGUGCGGGAUGAAGGCCUUUGGGUCGUAAACCGCUUUUAUUAGGGAGCAAUUUCGAUGAGAGUACCUAAUGAAUAAGAGGUUACUAACUCUGUGCCAGCAGUAGCGGUAAUACAGAGACCUCAAGCGUUAUCCGGAUUUAUUGGGCGUAAAGCGUGUGUAGGCGGAUUAAUUAGUCAGAUGUUAAAUCUCGGGGCUCAACCCCGA
rnacentral:rRNA from 1 species